AAAUAAACAAGAAGAUGCUGAUAAUAGUAAUGGACUUAUGCAAUAAAACAGCUAUGCUGAUCACUCAAGCAUUGGUGAGACAUAAAUUGGAGUUCAUACCCUGUGGGGAAAGUAACAACCUCCAAUGUUAAAAAUAAACAAGAAGAUGCUGAUAAUAGUAAUGGACUUAUGCAAUAAAGCAGCCAUGCAGAUCACUCAAGGAUUG